GGUGCCAGCCCGUGCGGUUAUACACUUAGAUUAAGUUAAUUUUUUUGAAUUGUAUUAAUAAUUUAACAUUAAAUUAAAUUAAUUAUAUUUUUUUAAAGUGAAAUUUUAAAAAUAUUAAAAAUUUAAGGAUAUAGAUUAUAUGAAAAUUAAAUUAUAAACUAGGAUUAGAUACCCUAUUAUUUUAAUUGUAAAUUUUAAUUCUUAGGAUUAAUAGUUAUGAUCUUUAAAUUAAAAAAAUUUGGCGGUAAUUUAUUCUUCUUAGAGGAGCCUGUCCUUUAAUUGAUAAUCCACGUUGAAUUUUACUUUAAUUAAGUUUGUAUACCUCUGUCAUUGAGUGUCUUAUUAGGGUAUUUUCUUAAAUUUUUAAUUUAAAAAAUGUCAGGUCAAGGUGCAACUAUAUUAAAGUUGAGAUGGGCUACAUUAAUAAUUUAAUAAUUAUGGAUUAAUUAAUGUAAUUUAAUUUUGAAAUUGGAUUUAGGUGUAAUUUUUAUUAAUUUAUAAUUUUGAUUUUGUUCUAAAUUAUGCACACAUCGCCCGUCACUCUUAUUAUCAGAUAAGAUAAGUCGUAACAAAGUAAAUCUACCGGAAGGUGGAUUUAGAAUGAUUAUU
rnacentral:rRNA from 1 species